GAGAAGAACAAGUGAGUGUGGGCCACAGUGGGGAGCUGUCCCCACCAUUUCAUGUGUCUUGUCCUGGACCCCAUGAGAAGCCAUCCUGUUCAUUCCAGUGAGACGCUAAAUCUGAACAGCAGCCCAGUGGAGCCAGACACAGAGCACUGAAUCCCUGGGACCUCGGAUCACUUGCCCUGCAGGAUUUUUGAUUUCUUCCCAUCUCCAAGUCCCUGAUCCCAUGAUCUCAGAAUCCCAAGAUCAUCAGACUGAGAAGGGGGCAGUGACUGUGCAUGCAGUCUGACACACAGUAAGGCCUUUACAAAUCCACGAGGACAAUGCUAAUCUCCCAUCCUCCACACAGCUGACAAAGAGGGAGGCUCUGCUGCUCCAGAAGCUUUCGGGGUUCCGCCUUCUGCUUCUGGGAGGCAAACGCCUCAGUCUGACAUCGAAAGCCUUCCUGUCCAUCGUUCGAGGCUGAUUUUAACAUUACUCCUCCUCACUCUACCUUCCGCCAGAGCCGCCUGCUUUCCAUUCUUCUGUUCUUGACUGAUGUUUCCCCUCCUUCCUCUGGGGAAUAUUGUCCCUCCUCACCUUAAGGGCCACCUCCUCCAGGAGGCCCAUUCUGAUUUCCUCAAUUCCUAGGACCCUCUCACUUCCAUUCCCCUAUAUUGCUGUUUAAUCGAUUUUUUCAGUUGUGUCUUACUCUUUGUGACCCCACUGGGGUUUUCUUGGCAAAGUUACUGGAGUGGUUUGCC